AUGAAUGGUGUGUUGACAAAAGGUGGAAAAGGAUAUUUCAUGACUCUAAUCGAUGACUCUACUAGAUAUUGCAUGAUAUAUUUGUUGAAAACAAAAGAUGAGGCUUUGCACUACUUUAAAAUCUACAAGGCCGAAGCAGAGAAUCAACUCGAUCGAAAGAUCAAAAGGCUUAGGUCGGAUCGCGGUGGAGAGUAUUUUUCCAAUGAGUUCAAUUUAUUUUGUGAGGAACAUGGUAUAAUACAUGAGAGGACGCCUCCCUACUCUCGCCAGUCAAACGGGGUUGCCGAACGAAAGAACCGAACUCUAGCUGAUUUGGUUAACACCAUGUUAGAUACAGCGGGACUUUCCAGGGAAUGGUGGGGGGAGGCUUUGAUGACUGCAAGUCAUGUCCUAAAUAGAGUUCCUACGAAGAAUAAAGAGAUUACCCCGUUUGAAGGAUGGGAAAGGAAAAGGCUUAAACUUUCCUACUUACGAACUUGGGGUUGUUUGGCGAAAGUCAAUGUACCAAUUACCAAGAAGCGCAAGCUUGGGCCAAAAACAGUUGAUUGCGUUUUCCUGGGUUAUGCUUUCCAUAGCAUUGGCUAUAGAUUUCUAGUGGUGAAAUCUGAGGUACUUGACAUGAAUGUUGGUACCAUCAUGGAGUCAAAUGAUGCGACUUUCUUUGAGGAUAUUUUUCCUAUGAAGGAUAUGCCUAGCUCAUCUAGUCAGAGGUCACAACUCAUGGACCUACUGUUCCAUUGGAACAUUCCGAGAAGAAACACACAGAUAUUCCUAAGGAGGAUGACAAUGAAGCUCCUAGAAGGAGCAAGAGACAAAGGACCACAAAGUCAUUUGGUGAAGAUUUCAUUGUGUACCUCGUGA
rnacentral:rRNA from 1 species